GGUUUUUUUUCUUUCUAAAACUAUAAUUCAAAAAAUCUAAAAUCUGUAAAAAGAAAACCGAUAAACUUUAUUUUGUUUUUGUCUAAAGAAAACCUAGAAACUUCUUCUUCUCCCCUUCUCUCUCUGCACACGAUGAUCUCGGUUCGAUGACGGUAAGCACACUAUCAAUGGUGCGACGAGCUGGGUUCGAGGUUGUCUUUCCGUCUGCAAGGCAACAAGCUAGAUCUGAAGAUGAGAUUGAGGUUGGGGAAGAGAAGAGAUUAGGCAGAGGUCGGCGAUGGCUGCAUAUGUCAGCAAUGGAGUUUGGGUAUCAAGUUGCUAGCAUCAAGGCAGCAGUGUUCAAGACAAAUUUCUAGGCAAAGUCUUCUAUUGAGCGAGUAUGUCUCCUUCGACUUGGCAUGACAUUUUUGCACCAGGCCAUGUCGCGAGUGGCUUGCAAGUUGGAGGACGAAUGGACAUUUGUAGAUCUGGGUUAAAGACAAUGAAGAUGGCAUUGAUGAUUGAUGAUUUCAGAUCUGGAGUUUUUUUUAUGGGUUCGAUUUCUUCUCCAAAUCUGACGACUAUGCAUCUAGGAAAGAUGGGCAACGACGGACAACGAAGAACAAAGUCGUACGUCUGCUUGGGCAAUGACGAACGGGGCGGAAGAAGAAGGUCUUGCGUUUGGGCGAGCUAAGGCGAAGGUUUGCUCAUGUGUUCAUAUUGUUCAACUUGGGUGAGCACAAAAAUUGAGAAGUUAGCUAAUUUUAUUUUUUGGAUAUUUCUUCUGAUGCACAGAUUUUGACUUUGGGCUUGAUUUUGUUCUGUAAUUAAUAUGAAACGAUGAUGAUAAUUGUUAUUGAUGAUGAACAAUGGUUUUGGGAUUGACUUUAUAAUGAUUUUGAGUAUAGAUCGAUGAAUAUAUUUGUGUGAAGAUCUGGAACUAUGAAUAUAUUUGUAUGUUUUUUUAGGUUUAGAAGAUAACGAUGAACAUUGAGUUUUUUAAA